CUACGGGAGGCAGCAGUAGGGAAUCUUCCGCAAUGGACGGAAAGUCUGACGGAGCAACGCCGCGUGAGUGAUGAAGGCUUUCGGGUCGUAAAACUCUGGUUGUUAGGGAAGAACAAGUACAAGAGUAACUGCUUGUACCUUGACGGUACCUAACCAGAAAGCCACGGCUAACUACGUGCCAGCAGCCGCGGUAAUACGUAGGUGGCAAGCGUUAUCCGGAAUUAUUGGGCGUAAAGCGCGCGCAGGCGGUUUCUUAAGUCUGAUGUGAAAGCCCACGGCUCAACCGUGGAGGGUCAUUGGAAACUGGGGAACUUGAGUGCAGAAGAGAAAAGCGGAAUUCCACGUGUAGCGGUGAAAUGCGUAGAGAUGUGGAGGAACACCAGUGGCGAAGGCGGCUUUUUGGUCUGUAACUGACGCUGAGGCGCGAAAGCGUGGGGAGCAAACAGGAUUAGAUACCCUGGUAGUCCACGCCGUAAACGAUGAGUGCUAAGUGUUAGAGGGUUUCCGCCCUUUAGUGCUGCAGCUAACGCAUUAAGCACUCCGCCUGGGGA
rnacentral:rRNA from 1 species